GUGCAAUCUCAAGAUGAAGCUUCUUUGGCAUUAAACCAUUCCUAAAAGCCAAAAACACAAGACAUUGUGCUCUAAGCUGUUUCAAAUGAUGUUCUUUGAAAGGCAUGGUAGAUACAGGAGCCUGAGCAGCAACAGACAACAUCCCUGCAUCUCUGAUUGUUUCACUUCUAAGUAUACUCUUCUCUGGGACAUUGUUGGGCAUGCCCCCCUGACUGAUCUUGCCAGCAUUUCCUAACAUAUUAGAUCCUCCUUCAUGCUCUAUUGCUCUUCCCACUGCAGUUCUGCCAGCAACAAGAUCAGCCGAGGUGGGACCAGAGUAAGGUUCUGUGCUUCCAUCUUUGUGCAAUUUCGCAGCAUAACCAUGAUUAUCAAUUGAAGGACUUCCAAACUGCAUUGGACUUGAAAUUCCUGCCUCUAGUGGCUGAGAUGAAUUUGAAGCAGGAGACGCCAUUACAGGAACUUUGACACCUGUACCACUUAUGUGGGGUGCAGAUGCUUGAUAAACACCAUGUCCG
rnacentral:misc_RNA from 1 species